rnacentral:lncRNA from 1 species
UGGAUGUAUAUGUUAUUAGUAAAAUGUGAUAGUUUGGAUUUGAGUAGAGGGGAUGGAUUAUAAAAUAUAUGCAUGAGCAUUAAUUUAUAACGUUAAUUUCAUACAGCUCCCUACAAAUAUAGUAAAUGACAAAUAUAUCUCUAUAAAGUUCAACUUUCAUAUGUUGUUCUUAUAAAAAUCUUGAUGUUUUCAAAUAUGUCUCUUUAUAUUGUAUUGUUAUGACUUUUGGAGGGAUAUAUUUGUAAUGGCAAAAUUGAAAAUAUAAACAUUUUCUAACGGUUCUCUAACAAUAACAAAUCAAAGGGACAUAUUUGAAAAUAUCAUAAAUUUUGCUACUUCUCUUCUUCAGAUGGUCACUUU